CAUGUUAGCCAGGAUGGUCUGGAUCUCCUGACCUCGUGAUCCGCCCGCCUGUGCCUCCCAAAGUGUUGGGAUUACAGGCGUGAGCCACUGUGCCCAGCCUCCAGCAUGAUUUUUUUAGGCCGUUCUUUUGUUUGAAAGAAUUCAACUAAGGAUCCACUCUGCCUGCCUGACCGGUUUCUUCCUUUCUUCUCUCUCAUCGGGUCCCGAGUUCCCAUGACUGCAGCUUCCAGAAGAGCAGAGCUUUGGUAUCCUACUCACAGCGCCAAAACUGCAGGGGCCAAGCCUCUUUUGGACUCCAGCUCUUGUUCUCUCGCUGAAUCCCACCGCCACCCCUUCAAGUCAUCGGCUGUGAUUCACCUGUGGGUUUCUGAAGGCUAGAAGCUUCCACAAUGAGCCAGGAAACAAGUUCUGAUUGGCUGGGAACAGACCUCUGCUCCAAGAUUCAGGGCUGGCAGUAUUCCUUCUGUUCUGGUGGCUCGAUCUUCAUUGCUUUCCUCUGGACUUAAACACCCUGUUGCCCAGGCUGGAGUGCAGUGAUGCAAUCAUAGCUCACAAUGGCCUCGAACUCCUGGGCUCAAGCCAUCCUCCCGUGUCAGACUCCCAAGUAGCUGGGAUUACAGAAACUCCUCCUACCCAUGGAAUCUGCCAGCAGUUGGAUUCUUGACUAUCUUUAGGACUUUUCCUAAUCUCACCUUCUCCAUCUGUGAAAUGGAAAUAAUCAAAGG
rnacentral:lncRNA from 1 species